rnacentral:rRNA from 1 species
CCUACGGGAGGCAGCAGUGGGGAAUAUUGGGCAAUGGGCGCAAGCCUGACCCAGCAACGCCGCGUGAAGGAAGAAGGCUUUCGGGUUGUAAACUUCUUUUCUCAGGGACGAAGAAAGUGACGGUACCUGAGGAAUAAGCCACGGCUAACUACGUGCCAGCAGCCGCGGUAAUACGUAGGUGGCAAGCGUUAUCAGGAUUUACUGGGUGUAAAGGGCGAGUAGGGGGGGACGCAAGUCAGAUGUGAAAACCACGGGCUCAACCUGUGGCCUGCAUUUGAAACUGUGUUUCUUGAGUACUGGAGAGGCAGACGGAAUUCCUAGUGUAGCGGUGAAAUGCGUAGAUAGUAGGAGGAACACCAGUGGCGAAGGCGGUCUGCUGGACAGCAACUGACGCUGAGGCGCGAAAGCGUGGGGAGCAAACAGGAUUAGAUACCCCAGUAGUC